AGAAUCAACGCUGGCGGCGUGCCUAACACAUGCAAGUCGAACGAGAAAGGGUAGCAAUACCUGAGUAAAGUGGCGCACGGGUGAGUAACACGUGACUAACCUACCUUUUAGUGGGGGAUAACCUAGGGAAACCUGGGCUAAUACCGCAUAAUACCUACGGGUCAAAGCAGCAAUGCGCUGAAAGAGGGGGUCGCGGCCGAUUAGCUAGUUGGCGGGGUAAUGGCCCACCAAGGCAGUGAUCGGUAUCCGGCCUGAGAGGGCGCACGGACACACUGGAACUGAAACACGGUCCAGACUCCUACGGGAGGCAGCAGUGGGGAAUUUGCGCAAUGGGGGAAACCCUGACGCAGCAACGCCGCGUGGAGGAUGAAGUCCCUUGGGACGUAAACUCCUUUCGAUCGGGACGAUAAUGACGGUACCGGAAGAAGAACGCCCGGCUAACUUCGCGCCAGCAGCCGC
rnacentral:rRNA from 1 species